GGGGAAUAUUGCACAAUGGGCGAAAGCCUGAUGCAGCAACGCCGCGUGGAGGAUGAAGGCCUUCGGGUUGUAAACUCUUGUCUUCUGGGACGAUAAUGACGGUACCAGAGGAGGAAGCCACGGCUAACUACGUGCCAGCAGCCGCGGUAAUACGUAGGUGGCAAGCGUUGUCCGGAUUUACUGGGCGUAAAGGAUGCGUAGGCGGAUAUUUAAGUGGGAUGUGAAAUACCCGAGCUCAACUUGGGUGCUGCAUUCCAAACUGGAUAUCUAGAGUGCGGGAGAGGAGAGUGGAAUUCCUAGUGUAGCGGUGAAAUGCGUAGAGAUUAGGAAGAACACCAGUGGCGAAGGCGACUCUCUGUACCGUAACUGACGCUGAAGCACGAAAGCAUGGGUGGCAAAC
rnacentral:rRNA from 1 species